UUAUGUACUCACCUACAAUGUUAAUGCACUAGAUCCCAUCACAAUUCUGCAGUUAAGUGGACUUGGGAUCGAGUAGCACUCGGAUGGGUGACCUCCCGAGAAGUCCUAGUGAAACACAUAUG
rnacentral:rRNA from 1 species